UACGUAGGGUGCGAGCGUUAAUCGGAAUUACUGGGCGUAAAGUGUGCGCAGGCGGCCGCGCAAGUCGAGUGUGAAAGCCCCGGGCUUAACUUGGGAAUUGCGCUCGAAACUACGUGGCUGGAGUGUGGCAGAGGAAGGUGGAAUUCCAGGUGUAGCGGUGAAAUGCGUAGAGAUCUGGAGGAACACCGGUGGCGAAAGCGGCAUCCUGGACCAACACUGACACUGAGGAGCGAAAGCCAGGGGAGAAACGGG
rnacentral:rRNA from 1 species